UACGUAGGGGGCAAGCGUUGUCCGGAAUUAUUGGGCGUAAAGCGUGCGUAGGCGGCUGUUUAAGUCUGGUGUUAAAGCUAGGGGCUCAACCCCUGUGAUGCACUGGAUACUGGGCAGCUUGAGUGCGGUAGGGGAAGGUGGAAUUCCGAGUGUAGCGGUGAAAUGCGUAGAUAUUCGGAAGAACACCGGUGGCGAAGGCGACCUUCUGGGCCGCAACUGACGCUGAGGCACGAAAGCCUGGGGAGCGAACGGG
rnacentral:rRNA from 1 species